rnacentral:misc_RNA from 1 species
AGAGCUGAGGUAUAUACCCAUCUCAAUCUGCCCAACUGGGCUGCGUACGGAGCUUGAGAUCAGAAGCAAAGGAUCAGAAAGAGCGAACGGUACGUAGAACUGAAAUGUUCCCAAAACUAAGGAAGACCUAUCAGGGUCAUCCAAGAAUCAGAGAAACAAAAGAAGAAAAAAAAAAACUAUAAUUAGGUGACAAGAACAAGAAUUCAAAAAAUAAAAGGACAAAGACACAUACUUUGGUAAGAGAAGAAUAUAAAACUAGAAAAGAAUAGAAACUUGAUCGAGAAAUGAUGAUGUUUUGGAGCUCCGGUGACUGAGGUAUUCUGAUGUGAAUAAGGAUUUUGAAAUCUUGAUAGAAAUGGAAAAUUAGAACGCUCUGGAUUUAACUGUUACGGUUUCUA